rnacentral:rRNA from 1 species
CUAAGAGGGUUACCCUCCACACUGGAACUGAGACAAGGACCAGACUUCUACGGAAGGCAGCAGUGAGGAAUAUUGGUCAAUGGAGGAAACUCUGAACCAGCUAUGCCGCGUGUACGGAAGACAGUCUUUUAGGUUGUAAACUACUUUUGCAUAGAAAUAAAAGUUACUACGUGAUAGUAGCCUGAAGGUACUAUGCGAAUAAGUGUCGGCUAAUUUCGUGCCAGCAGCCGCGGUAAUACGAAAGACACAAGCGUUAUCCGGAUUUAUUGGGUUUAAAGGGUGUGUAGGCUGUUUAUUAAGUCAGUAGUGAAAGCUUACAGCUUAACUGUAAAAUUGCUAUUGAUACUGAUAACCUUGAGUAAGAUUGGAGCGUUUGGAAUGUAUGGUGUAGCGGUGAAAUGCAUAGAUAUCAUACAGAACACCAAUAGCGAAGGCAGGAUGCUAAAUCUUCACUGACGCUGAGGCACUAAAGCGUGGGUAGCAAACAGGAUUAGAUACCCUGGUAGUCCACUGCCCUAAACGAUGAUCACUAGCUAUUGGAAAAACUAUAUUCAGUGGCUAAGCUAAAGCGAUAAGUGAUCCACCUGGGAAGUACGAUCGCAAGAUUGAAACUCAAAGGAAUUGACGGGGUUCCGCACAAGCGGUGGAGCAUGUGGUUUAAUUCGAUGAUACGCGAGGAACCUUACCAAGGAUUAAAUGUAUUACGAAUAAGCUGGAAACAACUUAGUCUAUAAGACGUAAUACAAGGUGCUGCAUGGUUGUCUUCAGUUCGUGCUGUGAAGUGUUUGGUUAAGUCCUAUAACGAGCGCAACCCCUAUUGUUAGUUGCCAACGGGUAAAGCCGGGGACUCUAACAAAACUGCCGGUGUAAAUCGUGAGGAAGGUGGGGAUAAUGUCAA